rnacentral:lncRNA from 1 species
AGCAACUUGUAUGGAGAGAUCAACCAAGUUUCAUCAACAUACAUAUUACAAUUACAUUAAAAACACAUAUAACAAAUACCAUCCUAGUAACACCUUCAACCACUUUUCCAACACAACACUUUUCUCUAAACAAGCUAUUUCCAUCUUUUCAUCAUUAGCUUCUUCCAUCUUCGUCACACUUGGUUCCAUCAUCAUCAAACUUCCACAUGCUUGUUCAUUUCUUCCACUUCUACUCCUUUCUUCUCCAUACAACACAUUUCCUUCUUCUAUUGCUUCUUCAUUGCACCAGUGAAAGAAGUUGCAGCCAACGAAAUCUUCGCCCCCACCCUGUUGAAUGAAUAUAGGCACACUCCCUCGUCAAAACCCAAAAAAUAAACAAACAUUUAUGCUUAUAUUAAAUUGACCUUGAAGUUAGGGCAACCCCAUAAUUUUUUGGCCUUGUUUUUAGGGGCUCUCGCAAUGCGUAAAACUGCAAUGUGACCAUAGAAGCAAGUGGGUUUUACACCCGACCUCCUAGCAAUGCCACUACUGUGUUGGAAGUCCGA